rnacentral:rRNA from 1 species
CUUGCUAGAAGAUGACGAGCGGCGGACGGGUGAGUAAUACUUAGGAAUCUACCUAGUAGUGGGGGAUAGCACGGGGAAACUCGUAUUAAUACCGCAUACGACCUACGGGAGAAAGGGGGCAGUUUACUGCUCUCGCUAUUAGAUGAGCCUAAGUCGGAUUAGCUAGAUGGUGGGGUAAAGGCCUACCAUGGCGACGAUCUGUAGCUGGUCUGAGAGGAUGAUCAGCCACACCGGAACUGAGACACGGUCCGGACUCCUACGGGAGGCAGCAGUGGGGAAUAUUGGACAAUGGGGGAAACCCUGAUCCAGCCAUGCCGCGUGUGUGAAGAAGGCCUUUUGGUUGUAAAGCACUUUAAGCAGUGAAGAAGACUCCGUGGUUAAUACCCACGGACGAUGACAUUAGCUGCAGAAUAAGCACCGGCUAACUCUGUGCCAGCAGCCGCGGUAAUACAGAGGGUGCAAGCGUUAAUCGGAAUUACUGGGCGUAAAGGGAGCGUAGGUGGCUUGAUAAGUCAGAUGUGAAAUCCCCGGGCUUAACCUGGGAACUGCAUCUGAUACUGUUGAGCUAGAGUAGGUGAGAGGAAGGUAGAAUUCCAGGU